rnacentral:rRNA from 2 species
AGCAACAAAUGCCCUGCUUCCAGGAAAAGCCUCUAAGCAUCAGGUAACAUCAAAUCGUACCCCAAACCGACACAGGUGGUCAGGUAGAGAAUACCAAGGCGCUUGAGAGAACUCGGGUGAAGGAACUAGGCAAAAUGGUGCCGUAACUUCGGGAGAAGGCACGCUGACACGUAGGUGAAGUGAUUUACUCAUGGAGCUGAAGUCAGUCGAAGAUACCAGCUGGCUGCAACUGUUUAUUAAAAACACAGCACUGUGCAAACACGAAAGUGGACGUAUACGGUGUGACGCCUGCCCGGUGCCGGAAGGUUAAUUGAUGGGGUCAGCGCAAGCGAAGCUCCUGAUCGAAGCCCCGGUAAACGGCGGCCGUAACUAUAACGGUCCUAAGGUAGCGAAAUUCCUUGUCGGGUAAGUUCCGACCUGCACGAAUGGCGUAAUGAUGGCCAGGCUGUCUCCACCCGAGACUCAGUGAAAUUGAACUCGCUGUGAAGAUGCAGUGUACCCGCGGCAAGACGGAAAGACCCCGUGAACCUUUACUAUAGCUUGACACUGAACAUUGAGCCUUGAUGUGUAGGAUAGGUGGGAGGCUUUGAAGCGUGGACGCCAGUCUGCGUGGAGCCGACCUUGAAAUACCACCCUUUAAUGUUUGAUGUUCUAACGUGGACCCGUAAUCCGGGUUGCGGACAGUGUCUGGUGGGUAGUUUGACUGGGGCGGUCUCCUCCUAAAGAGUAACGGAGGAGCACGAAGGUUGGCUAAUCCUGGUCGGACAUCAGGAGGUUAGUGCAAUGGCAUAAGCCAGCUUGACUGCGAGCGUGACGGCGCGAGCAGGUGCGAAAGCAGGUCAUAGUGAUCCGGUGGUUCUGAAUGGAAGGGCCAUCGCUCAACGGAUAAAAGGUACUCCGGGGAUAACAGGCUGAUACCGCCCAAGAGUUCAUAUCGACGGCGGUGUUUGGCACCUCGAUGUCGGCUCAUCACAUCCUGGGGCUGAAGUAGGUCCCAAGGGUAUGGCUGUUCGCCAUUUAAAGUGGUACGCGAGCUGGGUUUAGAACGUCGUGAGACAGUUCGGUCCCUAUCUGCCGUGGGCGCUGGAGAACUGAGGGGGGCUGCUCCUAGUACGAGAGGACCGGAGUGGACGCAUCACUGGUGUUCGGGUUGUCAUGCCAAUGGCACUGCCCGGUAGCUAAAUGCGGAAGAGAUAAGUGCUGAAAGCAUCUAAGCACGAAACUUGCCCCGAGAUGAGUUCUCCCUGAGACUUAGAGUCUCCUGAAGGAACGUUGAAGACGACGACGUUGAUAGGCCGGGUGUGUAAGCGCAGCGAUGCGUUGAGCUAACCGGUACUAAUGAACCGUGAGGCUUAACCUUACA